rnacentral:rRNA from 1 species
GACGAACGCUGGCGGCGUGCCUAAUACAUGCAAGUAGAACGCUGAAGGAGGAGCUUGCUUCUCCGGAUGAGUUGCGAACGGGUGAGUAACGCGUAGGUAACCUGCCUGGUAGCGGGGGAUAACUAUUGGAAACGAUAGCUAAUUCCGCAUAAUAGUAGAUGUUGCAUGACAUUUGCUUAAAAGGUGCAAUUGCAUCACUACCAGAUGGACCUGCGUUGUAUUAGCUAGUUGGUGGGGUAACGGCUCACCAAGGCGACGAUACAUAGCCGACCUGAGAGGGUGAUCGGCCACACUGGGACUGAGACACGGCCCAGACUCCUACGGGAGGCAGCAGUAGGGAAUCUUCGGCAAUGGACGGAAGUCUGACCGAGCAACGCCGCGUGAGUGAAGAAGGUUUUCGGAUCGUAAAGCUCUGUUGUAAGAGAAGAACGAGUGUGAG